UUGGAGGGCAAGUCUGGUGCCAGCAGCCGCGGUAAUUCCAGCUCCAAUAGCGUAUAUUAAAGUUGUUGCAGUUAAAAAGCUCGUAGUUGAACCUCGGGAUCAAUGGAUCGGUCAUGCCAUCGGUAUGUACUGGUCUCAUUGGUUCUCACCUUCUAAGGAACCAUGAUGUCAUUAAUUUGAUGUUGUGGGGAAUUAGGACUGUUACCUUGAAAAAAUUAGAGUGUUUAAAGCAGGCUAACGCUUGAAUACAUUAGCAUGGAAUAAUGAAAUAGGACAUCGCAUUCUAUUUUGUUGGUUUCUAGGAUCGAUGUAAUGAUUAAUAGGGAUAGUUGGGGGCAUUAGUAUUCAAUUGUCAGAGGUGAAAUUCUUGGAUUUAUUGAAGACUAACUACUGCGAAAGCAUUUGCCAAGGAUGUUUUCAUUAAUCAAGAACGAAAGUUAGGGGAUCGAAGACGAUCAGAUACCGUCGUAGUCUUAACCAUAAACUAUGCCGACUAGGGAUCGGAUGAUGUUAAUUUUUUAAUGACUCAUUCGGCGCCUUACGGGAAAC
rnacentral:rRNA from 1 species